CAGUCGCCGCGGGAAUACGUAGGGUGCGAGCGUUAAUCGGAAUUACUGGGCGUAAGCGUGCGCAGGCGGUUGUGUAAGACAGGUGUGAAAUCCCCGGGCUUAACCUGGGAACUGCGCUUGUGACUGCACAGCUAGAGUAUGGCAGAGGGGGGUGGAAUUCCACGUGUAGCAGUGAAAUGCGUAGAGAUGUGGAGGAACACCGAUGGCGAAGGCAGCCCCCUGGGCCAAUACUGACGCUCAUGCACGAAAGCGUGGGGAGCAAACAGGAUAGAUACCCCCGUAGUCCCUGUCUCUUAUACAC
rnacentral:rRNA from 1 species